GUCUAGCUGACGAAUCUGAAAUAGGACGAAAUGUGCAUCCUGUAU
rnacentral:hammerhead_ribozyme from 1 species